GGGAAACGAAACGCUGGCGGCGUGCUUACACAUGCAAGUCGAACGAUGAUGCCCAGCUUGCUGGGUGGAUUAGUGGCGAACGGGUGAGUAACACGUGAGUAACCUGCCCCUGACUCUGGGAUAAGCGUUGGAAACGACGUCUAAUACUGGAUAUGAUCACCGGCCGCAUGGUCUGGUGGUGGAAAGAUUUUUUGGUUGGGGAUGGACUCGCGGCCUAUCAGCUUGUUGGUGAGGUAAUGGCUCACCAAGGCGACGACGGGUAGCCGGCCUGAGAGGGUGACCGGCCACACUGGGACUGAGACACGGCCCAGACUCCUACGGGAGGCAGCAGUGGGGAAUAUUGCACAAUGGGCGAAAGCCUGAUGCAGCAACGCCGCGUGAGGGAUGACGGCCUUCGGGUUGUAAACCUCUUUUAGUAGGGAAGAAGCGAAAGUGACGGUACCUGCAGAAAAAGCACCGGCUAACUACGUGCCAGCAGCCGCGGUAAUACGUAGGGUGCAAGCGUUGUCCGGAAUUAUUGGGCGUAAAGAGCUCGUAGGCGGUUUGUCGCGUCUGCUGUGAAAUCCCGAGGCUCAACCUCGGGCUUGCAGUGGGGUACGGGCAGACUAGAGUGCGGUAGGGGAGAUUGGAAUUCCUGGUGUAGCGGUGGAAUGCGCAGAUAUCAGGAGGAACACCGAUGGCGAAGGCAGAUCUCUGGGCCGUAACUGACGCUGAGGAGCGAAAGCGUGGGGAGCGAACAGGAUUAGAUACCCUGGUAGUCCACGCCGUAAACGUUGGGCGCUAGAUGUAGGGACCUUUCCACGGUUUCUGUGUCGUAGCUAACGCAUUAAGCGCCCCGCCUGGGGAGUACGGCCGCAAGGCUAAAACUCAAAGGAAUUGACGGGGGCCCGCACAAGCGGCGGAGCAUGCGGAUUAAUUCGAUGCAACGCGAAGAACCUUACCAAGGCUUGACAUACACCGGAAACGGCCAGAGAUGGUCGCCCCCUUGUGGUCGGUGUACAGGUGGUGCAUGGUUGUCGUCAGCUCGUGUCGUGAGAUGUUGGGUUAAGUCCCGCAACGAGCGCAACCCUCGUUCUAUGUUGCCAGCGCGUUAUGGCGGGGACUCAUAGGAGACUGCCGGGGUCAACUCGGAGGAAGGUGGGGAUGACGUCAAAUCAUCAUGCCCCUUAUGUCUUGGGCUUCACGCAUGCUACAAUGGCCGGUACAAAGGGCUGCGAUACCGUAAGGUGGAGCGAAUCCCAAAAAGCCGGUCUCAGUUCGGAUUGAGGUCUGCAACUCGACCUCAUGAAGUCGGAGUCGCUAGUAAUCGCAGAUCAGCAACGCUGCGGUGAAUACGUUCCCGGGCCUUGUACACACCGCCCGUCAAGUCAUGAAAGUCGGUAACACCCGAAGCCGGUGGCCUAACCCUGUGGAAGGAGCCGUCGAAGGUGGAUCGGUGAUUAGGGAUU
rnacentral:rRNA from 1 species